UAUAUAUCAUAUGUUUAUGUAUCAUAUAUGAUAUAUGAUAUAUAUAUAAUGCCCUGAAUACAUUAAUUACUUUGUUAAUUUUUUUGUUUAGUUGUUAUGAAAUGAACCUUUCAUUGGUACUGUGUAUUUUGUACUGAAAUCCAACAUAAGGCUUGAUAAGAAAUAAGUAGUAUUGACAGAAUGAACAACAGUUUCCAAUACCCUUGAGCACAACUGCACACCAUUUUCAUAUACAAGUUAAGCAGAUCUGAAACUCCUUGUUUUGAUGCGAUGUGAGUGUCUCUUUACAGGAGGCACAACACAUCAUUUCUCCUUUCAUUUCUCACCCCAUUAACUCCCUUGACAAAAGAUGUAUGCAGAUCCUGGGAGGAUUCAGUGUUUUCUCUGAAUGUUUCAGAUACGUUGAGCUGAAAGAGUGGGAGUGUCAUAUCAAUUUUAUUUAGAUAAAAAGUAUUUUUCAAAAAUAAUAUUUUUCUUAGGUGUCUACAGACUCCUUAUAUAAAAUUUUACAGAGUGUAUAGUCCCAAUGCUAUUUUCAACUCUGAAACUAAAGAUGCAUAGUCAGAAGAUAACUUUGAAAAUGAUGUGAUUUGUUAUAUUCAAAUGAGACAAUUUGAAAAUUGAUUGUAAUUAAAUUUGUACUCAACCUUAUCAUCCACAUUAAUUCAGAAAUAUUGGAAUGGUUAGAUAGAAAGAGCACUUAUUUUAUAUCCAUAAUAUGGACUUGCUCUUUUUUAUAUGCAGUAGAUAAUAUGGAAUAUAAAUUACUUCUGUAAAAUGGAAAAUAUUGACAGUAUCAUACCAGAGAAGAGGUAAUGCUACCUGAAAACCCCAACACAUUCAUUUGCAUUUAUUGAUAUGAACAGUGUUGCAGUAUUCUUUUACUGCCAGCCCCUCCUUUUUUUUCCUCAUAGUGAUUUCAUUUAUGUAUUUUUUAAAUUUUUUUUUUUUUUUUUUUUGAGAUGGAGUCUUGCUCUUUCACCCAGGUUAGAGUGCAACGGUAUGUCAUUGGCUCAUUGGCUCACUGCACCCUCCACCAUCUGGGUUCAAAUGGUUCUCUCCUGCCUCAACUUCCCAAGUAGCUGGGAUUACAGGCAUGUGCCACUAUGCCCAGCUAAUUUUGUAUUUUCAGUAGACGGGGUUUCAUCAUGUUGGUCAGGCUGGUCUCGAACUCCUGACCUCAGGUGAUCCACCUGCCUCAUCCUCCCAAAGUGCUGGGAUUACAGAUGUGAGCCACCGCACCCAGCCUGAUUUUUCAUUUUCUAAAACUUCUUUUGUUUAUUUAUUCCUCUAUGAAUACGCAGUUCUUAUAUUGACUUUAUAUGCAGAAUAUUGCUCACUCUUUAAGAUCUGUCACAAUGGCUGGCUCCUUCCAGAUAGCAUUCCCACAUCCCUGUGUGGGAAUACGCUUUUUCUCCGGUGCUCUCCCAAGGUCAAAUUAUUUUUUGUUUGAUAAUCAUGCCAUUUCCUUGCUUAAUCCACUUUGAAGAUCACACUCUGAAGAUCCAAACUCCUCAUCAUAGCCAAAAAGACCCGAAGGAUUUGGUGCCAGACAACUUACCAGAUAUCAUACCCUUUCUCAAUCUCUCCCUAUUUGCCCACUCCAGCCACGGGGGUGUUCACUUUUGUUCCACAAAUAUGCCAAACUUAUCCCUCCUGGGUGUCCCCUCUACUAGUUUUUACUUCCCAUUUUAAAUUCUUCUCUGACAUGAACUCAUCAUGGAUUCCUCUCAGUUACUCAUAUCUUGGCUUCAAUGGCUUCAAGUCAGAGGCAGCUUUUCUGACCACCAAUCUGAAUUAAACUCCCAGUGUGCCUCUAGUACAUCAACUUGCUUGAUUGGUUUUAUUGUACAUUAUUAGUCCUUAAUCAUAUCUUAUCAAUUAAUAAUUCAUUUGUUGAUUUUCUGUCACCCUCAACUGCAAUGUGAAAUCCAGGCGAGCAGAAACAUACUGGGUUUGUUGAAGUCUAUACCAAGGCACUCAAAUAGGUGUAUGAAAUAUAUGGAGAAAAAUUUUUGAAUAAAUGAAUGAAUUACUAGAUAAAUGAAUAUAAUAAAGUUCAUGCAUGCAUAAAUACAUGCUAGACACUCUACUUGGUACUGAAAAUAGCUUUAGAGUACAGGGAGCGUGCACUAUUUCAAAGAUAGUUUUUUUUGACAUAGUGUUUUUUUUUGUUUUUGUCCUUACUUUUUCCUUUAAGAAGUAUCCAUUGAGAUGAUCUGAAACUUGGGUAAAAUUUUUCCAGGUAGUUAUGAAUAAAAGAGGAGAAAGCCAUUCCAUUAAAGAUGGAAAAGUCUAUGGAUAUCGUGAGAUGGGAAGAAAGGCUGAGUACUUGAAAGAAGGACAGAGAGACAGGAAUACACUGAACUGAGAAUGGGCCACUGGGCAAAGUAGGCCAUAGGGCCUGAGAUGAGACAAUGGCUCCUGGAAACAAGCCUGCAAUGUAAUGUUAGAUACAGAUAACUAAACAGCCAAUAAACAAUGUGAUGGGAUGGUCAAAACAAAAGGAACCUGACACAGGUUCUAGGAUGAGUGGACAAGCUGUUGGCAGUGGGACGGUCCAGGGUUGGGGGAAGCAGUGUGCAGGUGAUCAGAUAAGAGGAGAUAGGUGUUCUGGGCAGAGUGUGAUCAUGUGAAACCCCCACGAAUUAGGAGGGCUAUAGUUGAGAAGCUGAAAGUUUUGUAGUGUAUACGAUCUAGCAUGGUGUACAGUAAGUCCUCAGAAAAUACCUUUUAUUUAACAUAGUUUCAUAAUAAUGUUGAUGAGACUAAAAAAUGUCGAAUCUCAGCCAGGGCCACCAUCUGUGCAGAGUUUGUGUGUUCUCCCCAGAUUGGCGUGGGUUUUCCCUAAGUCUUCUGGUUUCCUCCUUCAUUCCAAAGCUGUGCACAUUAGGUGAAUCAGUGUGUUUCUAAACGGUCCCGGUGUGAGUGGGUGUGGAUGUGAGUAUGAGAAUGCCCUACAAUGGAACAGUGCCCUGUCUGGGGUGGGUUCCCGCCUUGCACCCUGAGCUGCCGGCAGGCUCCGGCCAUCCACAACCCUGAACUGAAAUGACUGGGUGAAUAGUUAUUUUAUGUACAUUUAUUCAUCUCUCUCUCUUUUUUUUUUUUUUUUUGAGACGGAGUCUCGCUCUGUCCCCCUGGCUGGAGUGCAGUGGCGCGAUCUCACUGCAAGCUCCCCCAACCCAGGUUCACGCCAUUCUCCUGCCUCAGCCUCCUGAGUAGCUGGGACUACAGGCGCCCGCCACGAUGACCGGCUAAUUUUUUGUAUUUUUGGUAGAGAUGGGGUUUCACUGUGUUAGCCAGGAUGGUCUCUAUCUCCUGACCUUGUGAUCCACCAGCCUCGGCCUCCCAAAGUGCUGGGAUUACAGGUGUGAGCCACCGCGCCCGGCCUCAUCUCUCUUAAAUGUCUAUAUAACUCACAUCCAUUUCAGUGUCUAAUGUAAGAAGUGUUUUGAUCUUUAUUUUGAAGUUUUGUGAUGUUCCUGUGAUCAGAAAUCUGCCCCAGGAACUUACAUCUUGUUUAUAUCAAGUAGCCUAUGGUAAAACUGGUUUCAUUAGGUGGCAUUUUGAAUAAAGUUGCAGUUCCCAAGAACUAUUGAUGUUGUUAAGUGAGGACUUACUCUAUCAGGCGGGGCAGUGCCUCUAAUAAAAGUUGGAAAAACAAAGAUCAUCCCAUGAAGAGCCUGUGAGACACAAAGUUAGCGCAUGUUUAUCACUAGAAUUACCUUAUGCUGCUCAGCAAACACAAGGAGCGCUCUGUGAUUAUGUUGGAGAAUUCAGUUUAAGGCGUAGUGAUACCCCAGAUACAUUCAUGCCAAGUUUUAGUAUUUCCUCUCUUUAAGAAGACUCUUUAUUUUGAAAGAAAAUACAACCAUAAUUAAACUAUCAAAAGGCUACAACAGGCCGGGCGUGGUGGCUCAUGCCUGUAAUCCCAGAACUUUGGGAUGCCGAGGCGGGCGGAUCACGAGGUCAGGAGAUCUAGACCAUCCUGGCUAAGACGGUGAAACCCCUUCUCUACUAAAAGUACAACAAAAAUUAGCUGGGCUUGGUGGCGGGCACCUGUAGUCCCAGCUACUCAGGAGACUGAGGCAGGAGAAUGGCGUGAACCCUGGAGGCGGAGCUUGCAGUGAGCCAAGAUUGCAUCACUGUUCUCCAGCCUGGGCAACAGUGGAAGACUCCCUCUGAAAAAAAAAAAAAAAAAAGCUACAACACAACAUCUUGCACUUCUGAAAAAAUACCAUUUGCAAAAAACAAAACAAAACAAAGCAAAAAACCAAACAACCAAACCAACAACAACAACAAAAAACUCCCUUUUGCACAAUUGAAGAAGCAGUUAUCCUAUAUUUCACCCCGUCUGUCAGACCCCAGGGGUAUACAGCACAUAUGCUUUCUAUCUGGUUUCAAACAUGUGCUUAGAUGGCAGGCAUCCCUUGGGGCAAAAGGAAAAAUGAAUUUCAAACAACAUGAAAAAAUGGAAUAAAUAUCAUGCUUAAAAACUGAAUUUCCCCAUCUGCCUCAUCAUAUGCAGCAAAAACUAAAGGAUCCUACCGCUCUUCACAGAAACAUUCCUUAAAGAUGUUCAUUGAGAAUUUUUGAACAUUUAUUAUGUUAUUAGGUUAUUUAUGACUGGGAAAAAAUAUUAUUAAAACUGAGAAUAUGGGAAUGUUUUUAGUUAUAAAUUCAAUUAACAAGGUGAUGGGGCUAAAUGUGUUCUUUACACAUGAUUUAUUGUAUCUAAGGACCUUGUGUCUGUCAAGAGUUUCAGUAGCAGCUUCCAUAUGGGAAGGAUGUCUUGCGAUGGUGUAUGCAACAUGAAAAGAGUCUGACAAGUUGGAAGAUAUAUAUACACACACACAUAAAUAUAUAUAUAUGUAUGUAUGCAUAUACAUAUACACCAGAAAUAGAUAUUCAUUUAAGACAUUUCAUUAAAUGAAUGUGAAGUAAUUCACAGCAUAAAAAACAAAUUUAGAAAUAUAAGAAAAAAUAAACUUUAGAACAUACAACCACUAAGAAUGUAGUGAAAUCUAUGAGAAGAAAUAUUAACUGAGUAUGACACUCUUAAAUAUUUGCAAUGUGAGUUAGCUUUCUUGAAGUGGAAGGGGAUCCAUGAAUUUUGACAUCUGGGAAACAUAGAAGAGGGGGAACAUUCCAUUCCUUCAAAAUUCUAGAGGAAAAUAGAAAUAUGGAACUUACUUUUUUUACAAACCACUUAAACUGGUUUCUUACAGACCAGGCACUAUUCUAACUUUUAGAAUUAGCAUAUACAAAUAUGAACCACAAAGUCCUUAUAAACAAUCCUAUUAGAUGCACACUAUUAUUGGACCUAUAUUAUUUCAUGUUGUAGGUGAAAGAAAUGGGAAAUGGAGAGGUUAAGUAACUGCCACUACCAAUAAGUGGCUAAGCUGAAUUGGAAACUAGGCCAUUCAAUAUGAAUUCUGUGCUUGGAACUUCUACAGUUUGGUGGCAUAUCCAACACAUCUAAACUGCAACCUUAAGGGAGGAGACCACCCCUCAUAUUGUCUUAUGCCCAAUUUCUGCCUCCAAAGAAAGAAGAAGUAAAAACUAAAAGGCAGAAAUGAAAUCCACAGGCAGACAGCCCAGCA
rnacentral:lncRNA from 1 species